GUAGUCUCGCACAGAUGCAUAUCAAUAAGCGGAGGAAAAGAAACUAACAAGGAUUCCCCUAGUAACGGCGAGUGAAGCGGGAAGAGCUCAAAUUUGAAAUCUUAAAGGGUUUCCCUUUACGAAUUGUAGUUUAAAGAAGUGUUUUCUGUUGAGGUUUUGGUAAAAGUUCUUUGGAAUAGGACAUCAUAGAGGGUGAGAAUCCCGUAUUUGACCUUUACUUUCAGCUUUGUGAUACACUUUCAAAGAGUCGGAUUGUUUGGGAAUGCAGUCCAAAAUGGGUGGUAAAUUUCAUCUAAAGCUAAAUAUUGGCGAGAGACCGAUAGCGAACAAGUACCGUGAGGGAAAGAUGAAAAGAACUUUGAAAAGAGAGUUAAACAGUACGUGAAAUUGUCAAAAGGGAAGCGUUUGACACCAGUGUUGUUUUUCUGAAAAUCAAUUAAAGAACUGUUUAUGCUAAGUUGUUUAGACUUUAUCAGCUAACUGUUUAGUUUUGAGCUUUUCUUUAAUGCACUUUUCAGUUAACAAGUCAACAUCAAUUUCUUUUGCUGUAAAAAAGCUUGAGGAAGGUGGCUUGAGAUUCGUCUUAAGUGUUUAUAGCCUCUUGCCUAUGCAGUCGGAGAGAUUGAGGUCUGCAGCGUAGAUCCUUCGGGGCUAAAUGCAUUUGUGCUAAGUUAUAGCAUUUUAUAGACAACUUGUUGACUAUGAUUUGUCUUGUAGCUUACUCGCUUAUGUUAUUUUACCUACGCUUAGGAUGUUGAUCUGUAGUGCGUGCGC
rnacentral:rRNA from 1 species